rnacentral:tRNA from 1 species
GCCUGGGUGGCUCAGUUGGUUAAGUGUCUGACUUUGGUUCAGGGCAUGAUCUCAUGGUAUGUGGGUUUGAGCCCCACGUCAGGCU